rnacentral:misc_RNA from 1 species
AACGAGGCCGACCUGCGGCUGAGUUACCUGCGGAGGGAUCAUUACCGAGUUAGGGUCUUUUUGGCCCGACCUCCAACCCUUUGUUUAUUAAACCAUGUUGCUUUGGCGGGCCUGCCUUUCGGGGCUGCCGGGGGCAUCACUGCCCCUGACUCGUGCCUGCCAGGGGCCUUCUUAAAUUCCGUGUUCAAUGGUGCUGUCUGAGUCCUGGUAUCAAAAUAUCAUAAAACUUUCAACAACGGA